GAGACGUGGACGGCCGUGACCUUGUUUUGAUCAGCUGUACGGUAACUUAGCGAUAAGAAAAUAGACUAUUGGUUAAAUAAAUUUAAAUUUAAGUGUGUUUUAGAAGAAGAGGAACUUUCAGUAUAUUCCUUAAGAUGAGCUGAGCAGCAGUCCAGUUUACAAGAUGACAAGAGUUCGAGAGACAAGAUACAAGAUCACUGAAACAAGAGCCAAGACUGAAGAUUCAAGAGAAGAGAAAGCUGGCAGCCAUGGACUUACAAGUGGAGAUUAAUAAGGUCAUGUAAAGUUUUAUUUUUUUUUAUGGAAGACAGUAACUGGAGUUUUUUUUUGUUAUAAACAUUAUUUACAGAACUUUUUAGGUUAUAGUAAUGUGAUGGAACUAGUGAGUUGUGGUAGCUGUCAAAAAGAACUAAUACCUUAAGUUUAAUUUUUAAAGUUAAUUUUCUUAAUUUACAGAGGGAUUAGUAGUUUUUUUUAAACCUUAUUUAGGUUGGAAUUUAAAUACAAUAGCUUAUUAUAAAUGUGUACGAACAGUUCAAGUUCACAGUACUGAUAGGUAGGUCAGAUGAUCUUAUUGAUUUUGAUGAUUUGUUGUUUUGAGUUGAUUUUUAAGUGUUGUGAAUUAGACAAUGAAAUAGUUCUGAAAACUUAAAUUAUUUCAAGCUAAGAAAUAGUAAAGUUAAUUGUAACUCAAAGGACACCAGAAUUUAAUUUUUUUUUAAUUAGUAAUGUUUGAAAAUUUUAUACUUUACAAGAAAGGUUAUAAACAAACAGAUCGGAUGGAACAAGGAUGCAGUAAAUCACAAUUUCAUUUAGAAUUAUUGAUUAGCUUUUGAGGUUAUGAAGUAAAAGUAAUUAUAAUUUAAAAGUUUGAAUAAAAAAAUGUUUUUUUUAUUUGUUUGAAAUAGAAAAUUUAAAAGUUAAUUAGUCAUGAUCUAGGUGGGUGAUGGGGUGGGAAUUGGCCACUCUUUUUCCCUAUAACCUCCCUAACAUGGCCUUCUAUUACAACUAACAGAAAUAAAGAAGAAGAAAAAUGAAGAAUUAUUAGUUAGAAUGUUUCUUUCAUGAAGAUACCUGAUGAACUUUUACUGUUUGGAAGAAUAGAAGCAAGGUUAGUCAGAUAUUUUUACUCAGAAGAAGAAGAAGAUAAAGCAGUUUUAUGACUCGACAAGCCAGAGAUUGGUGUUUCCCCUCUGCGCUUCUAUUGACUACGUUGUUUACUCUCAUGGGAUAGCUGGUUCGGCACCAUGGAGAGAGAUUGGUGGGCAUUGUGGUUGCCCCCAGAAGAAAAGAAGAGUAGAAGAGGUUAUGGGUGGGUCAUGUGAACUGACCUUCAACCCAGUUACUUCGUGGGGACUAUUUGCUGUAUAGAGAAGAUCAAGACUCAAGAGUUAGGGAAAAUCAUUGGAGGUCAUGUUUCCCUUCCUUAAGUUUUUCCUAUCAAAUUAUUUGCCUGAUUAGAUUAUGCUAAGGGUGGGAUACUUUAUGUUAGCAGUUGAAUUAAUUAAUUUUAUUUUUUUGUGUGUUUGCAUCCUUGCCCAUCGAUUGCAGUUUAGUAGUUAGUUUUGUAUUUGUCAGGCGUGAUGGUAAUGCCUGUUGAUGAUGUUUCAGAAUUGUAAUCUGUUCGUGAUGAGGAUGGCACAACUCCGAAGCAGAUGUGGGGAGAAGUUGUGAGCUGCCCUGGAAGCCAGUCCAGUAGCUGUUGGAGUUGAGUGGUGUUUGCUGAUGGCCAGCCCAGGGAGCUACUCUUCUCGACAACACUGACUUCGAGGAGUUGCACCAACCUUCACGAGAUAAGAGUUUAAUUAAUUGAAACACUGUAAGGACACUUAAUUUUUUUUGAAGAACGAAAGAAGUAUGGUAAUAAACGGAAACCGAAAAAAAAAAAUAAUAAUAAUUAUCAAGAAUUUGCACAUUGUUUAACGAAUACUGAGAAACUAAGAACAGUAAUUUAAUUUGUAAAGAGAGCUUCACUAACAGAACAAUUUUUUUAGAAUUGAGAACUCGAGCCUCUGAAGGUUCCUGUGAGAACAAACCAGAUAAAAGUUUUACAUUUAAUUUUAUGAAUACUUGUUGUUUUAAAAUAAAUCUUAUGCAGAAUCUAGAUGUAUGUUCAGACAGCAAGGAACUAAGAAAAUUAUUAUUUUUGUGAAAUGAGGAAUUUAUAGUUAUGGUUUAAUGGAAAAAGACAAUUUGUAAUUUUGAGGUAGCUCGAUGGGGCUCGAGCUCUGUGAGGGGAGGGUUAUGUCGCGGGUUGAAAUUUUGCAGGGUUGUUGAAAUCAAAUUUAGGGACUUUACUGACGGGACUCUGGGCUGGCUGCUCUGUUCACUCGUCAGCGCAAGUGGCGUGACCAUGUAAUUGGGGCACGGGGCCGGCGCGGCGCGCUGCGGGCUUGCAGAAUUUUGUUUGUUUGUUUGGCCGCGCGCUGGCGCAGCUACGGGCCGCAGUUACUGGGGCGCGCUGUCGUAACAAGCCACGCGGUGUGGCCUGCACAUCGGGGUAGAGGGGGGGUAGUCUUCCCAGAUGUUCUAGUUAGUUGUUUAGUAAAUUUGACUUCAAUAACGAGCUUUUGUUAUGGUAGGCGCGGCAGGGCGCGCGAAUUUAAGCGCAAGUGAGUGGUGACUCGGGGCUCACUCAGGCGGAGGCUAUGCGUCUCACCUGUGGUCACGAGUUGUUAGUUCGUUCGUGAUGUAGGAAUUCAGGCUCACUCAGGCGGAGGCUAUGCGUCUCACCUGUGGUCACGAGUUGUUAGUUCGUUCGUGAUGUAGGAAUUCAGGCUCACUCAGGCGGAGGCUAUGCGUCUCACCUGUGGUCACGAGUUGUUAGUUCGUUCGUGAUGUAGGAAUUCAAGCUUUCGGGCAGAAGCUAUGGCCGACGCCAGAGGCCACGAGUCGUUUAAUUUAAGUUAGGUCAUAAUGUAGUCAUCUUCAAGCUUUCGGGCGGAGGCAAUGGCCUUCGUCACUAGUCGUUUAGUUAUAAUUUUUAAAAUGUAAUGUUCGUUCGGAUUUUAAGGGCAGGAGAGGCCCCUACGUUAGUUUUAAGUAAUCGAUCAAGAAAGGCUUUUCGGAAAAUGUGAGUAUGGACUUAUCUUUGUUUUAAUUUUAAGUAUUAAUUAUGAUUUGAGGUAUUCGGAAGGACUAGGGAAGUGUUUAGUGAAGUUCUCUCAUUCUCUCUCUUGUAAGGUCGUUCAAUCGUUAAGGAAGUAAAGAGAUUAUUGUUUUAAAUUGUAAUCCCGCUAUUUAAAUGUUCUUUAAAAUGAUGUUGAGUAUUUGACUUUAAGAAUAAAAUAAUUUUAAUUAAGUAUUAUGUUAUUUUGCAAAAUCUCCUUAGUUCAGCUCUCACCAGACAUCCUGUACGGGAUGACGAACCUAUGAUCCUAGGUACAGUAAAGUAUUUUAUGAAGUUAAGACUAGUUGAUGCCAAGCGAGUUGUUUCUAUGUAAAGAGCUACGAUUCUCGCCCCCCCCCUCUGAAGGUGGAUCGUGACAAU